AUAAAAAAAUCCAAAGUCACAUAUGACUGAGUUCAGACAGUUGUCUGAAGUUCAUACAAAAAUGAUUGAACUUCAUCGAUAUGUGCCUAAAAUUCAAGCUAAAAUGACUGAAAUUCAGUUAUCUGUGCCUAGCCUUCAAAUUUCAGACACUGCGUGUUUAAAGUUGUUUCAAAGUGGAUAGAUUUAAAAAAUCCUUACGAAUUACAGAUAUGACUUAAAUUGUGGUCUCAAAUUCAGAUAUGUGUGCACUUCGGCCGAAAGAAAGGGAUGUAGAGUAAUGGGCCUAGACUAAGCUAUUCACUUACCAAAUCCAGCCCAAUUAAUGGGUUAAGCCAACACCUAGUUUGUUCAAAUGGCCCAAACCGAAGCCUAGUUCGAAGUAUAUAAAUCUCCAGUUACUUGUUUUGCCUGUCAAAAUCGAAGUGAUGCUUGUCGAGGUAUAAGUUGUUUAAGAAUGUGGGCAUAAAUUUUUUUAAGAAUGCGGAGCAUAAUUUAUGAAAUAUUAUGGUGUGAAAACAUGAACUUAUUUCAUGAAAAGAUUUUGUUACGGGGAGCAAAAAUUCAAGACCAGCACAAAAUGGGGUCGAUGGCAGGCGUUUCCGAACAGGUGGUUGGAAUAUUAUGUAGAAUCCUUGAAGUGCGAGAUCUAAAUGUAUACAAAGAGAUAAUGUUGAAAGGGAAGGAGUUUGUGGUGGGUCAUAAUUCUUUACUGUUUAUUUAGUUUAUAUUUGUCCCCUGUGCAUGUAACACUUUUAUCACACAACCUGGAAGAUCAUGAAUUCCAUCAUCAGGUUCAGUAAGCAUGAUUAUUUUCGACAAUGCUGAAGGUUUUUGUUCUACCUUCCAUCAAACAAAAGAAUAAAUAGACCUUUAAUAAAGGCCUCAUGGAGCUGUUUCUCGUAAUGUUAGUGAUCUUUCCAGCACAGCAUGCUGUGUUUUGUACACAGUUGCAUACAUAAUUUAAAUCGCCGAUCCUUUCCUUUGUUCUCAUAUUAUGUGUAUAUACCCAUGUUCAUUAAUGCUUCAUCACC